GAUGAACGCUGGCGGCGUGCCUAAUACAUGCAAGUCGAACGCUGGAGAUCUAGCUUGCUAGGUCGCAGGAGUGGCGAACGGGUGAGUAAUACAUAAGCAACCUACCCACGACGACUGGGAUAAUCUCUGGAAACGGGGAUUAAUACCGGAUAGUUAAUCGGAAGGCAUGUUCUGGUUAUUAAAUGUUAAAAACACUGGUUGGUGGGCUUGUGGCGCAGUAGUUAGUUGGUGAGGUACCGGCCCACCGAGUCGAUGAUUCGUAGCCGGCCUGAGAGGGUGAGCGGCCACAGUGUGACCGAGAAAAGGGCCAGAGUGCUACGGGAGGCAGCAGUAGGGAAUUUUCGGCAAUGGGGGAAAGCCUGACCGGGCGACGCCGGGUGAGUGAAGACGGCGUUCGGGUUGUAAAGCUCUGUUGUAAGGGAAGAACGGUAGAUAGAGAAUAUCUAAGUGACGGUACCUUACAAGAAAGCAACGGCUAACUACGUG
rnacentral:rRNA from 1 species